GUCCAACUGAGGGGAAUAUACAGGGAAGUCGAAGAUCGAUUGUUCCCUUUGGCCUGAAAGUGAGGGUAUGAAUGAUUACACCCUCCAUGAUCGUUAUAGAAAAUAAGCGGUGUGCAGGACUUCAUGUUUGUGUAUUUUGUACUUCUAGAUGUGUACUUGAAAGAUGUUCAAGAGUCGGCAUAUACUGUAUGCUAUGCUCGGAGAUGCUCAAUG
rnacentral:misc_RNA from 1 species